AUAUUCGGAACAUCUUCUUCAGAAGAUGCGGAAUAACGUGACAUAUUGUAUUCAGUUUUGAAUGUUUAUUUAACAUUCAAAUAUUUUUUGGUUAAAGUGAUAUUCCUUUUGAAAAUAAAGCAGUAUGCGAGCGCUUGACUAAAAAGAAAUUGUACAUUGAAAACUAGAUAAGUAAGUAAAAUAUAGAUUUUACCAAGCAAAACCGAGUGAAUAAAGAGUUUUAAAUAAGCUUGAAUUCAUAAGAAAUAAUCGCUAGUGUUCGAAAGAACACUCACAAGAUUAAUAACGCGUUUAAAUCUUUUUAUAAAAGAACGUAACUUCAUGUUAACGUUUGACUUAUAAAAAUGGUGGAAACAUAGAUUAAGUUNAGCGGUGGAGCAUGUGGUUUAAUUCGAAGCAACGCGAAGAACCUUACCAAAUCUUGACAUCCUUUGACAACUCUAGAGAUAGAGCCUUCCCCUUCGGGGGACAAAGUGACAGGUGGUGCAUGGUUGUCGUCAGCUCGUGUCGUGAGAUGUUGGGUUAAGUCCCGCAACGAGCGCAACCCUUAAGCUUAGUUGCCAUCAUUAAGUUGGGCACUCUAAGUUGACUGCCGGUGACAAACCGGAGGAAGGUGGGGAUGACGUCAAAUCAUCAUGCCCCUUAUGAUUUGGGCUACACACGUGCUACAAUGGACAAUACAAAGGGCAGCGAAACCGCGAGGUCAAGCAAAUCCCAUAAAGUUGUUCUCAGUUCGGAUUGUAGUCUGCAACUCGACUACAUGAAGCUGGAAUCGCUAGUAAUCGUAGAUCAGCAUGCUACGGUGAAUACGUUCCCGGGUCUUGUACACACCGCCCGUCACACCACGAGAGUUUGUAACACCCGAAGCCGGUGGAGUAACCUUUUAGGAGCUAGCCGUCGAAGGUGGGACAAAUGAUUGGGGUGAAGUCGUAACAAGGUAGCCGUAUCGGAAGGUGCGGCUG
rnacentral:rRNA from 1 species